AUUUGAGGGUGACGGGCGGUGUGUUUAAACUGGGGAUUAGAUACCCCACUAUGCUUGGCCGUAAACAAAGACGAAACAAUCCGCCAGGAGACUACAAGCACAAAGCUUAAAACCCAAAGGACCUGACGGUGUCCCACACCUACCUAGAGGAGCCCGUCUCAUAAUCGAUAGCCCGCGAUGAACCUCACCACCCUUAGCCCAUCCAGUCUAUAUACCGCCGUCGCAAGCCUACCUCUCAAGAACUAGUAGCCAAACAGUACAACCGUACUAACACGACAGGUCAAGGCGUAGCUCAUAGGGUGGAGAAGAUUGGCUACAAUGCCUAUCACACUUAGGCCCCUUAAACGAAAUAUUACCAUGAUAAUUGGUAUACGUGGCUUUGUUUCCCCGUUCUUGUGUCUGUUGUGUCCCUCCCUCCCCUCCCCCCCGA
rnacentral:rRNA from 1 species